UGGCGGGGUGGAGCAGCUUGGUAGCUCGUCGGGCUCAUAACCCGAAGGUCGUUGGUUCAAAUCCAGCCCCCGCAACCA
rnacentral:tRNA from 1 species